AUGAACGCUAGCUACAGGCUUAACACAUGCAAGUCGAGGGGCAGCAUGGUCUUAGCUUGCUAAGGCCGAUGGCGACCGGCGCACGGGUGAGUAACACGUAUCCAACCUGCCGUCUACUCUUGGACAGCCUUCUGAAAGGAAGAUUAAUACAAGAUGGCAUCAUGAGUCCGCAUGUUCACAUGAUUAAAGGUAUUCCGGUAGACGAUGGGGAUGCGUUCCAUUAGAUAGUAGGCGGGGUAACGGCCCACCUAGUCUUCGAUGGAUAGGGGUUCUGAGAGGAAGGUCCCCCACAUUGGAACUGAGACACGGUCCAAACUCCUACGGGAGGCAGCAGUGAGGAAUAUUGGUCAAUGGGCGAGAGCCUGAACCAGCCAAGUAGCGUGAAGGAUGACUGCCCUAUGGGUUGUAAACUUCUUUUAUAAAGGAAUAAAGUCGGGUAUGGAUACCCGUUUGCAUGUACUUUAUGAAUAAGGAUCGGCUAACUCCGUGCCAGCAGCCGCGGUAAUACGGAGGAUCCGAGCGUUAUCCGGAUUUAUUGGGUUUAAAGGGAGCGUAGAUGGAUGUUUAAGUCAGUUGUGAAAGUUUGCGGCUCAACCGUAAAAUUGCAGUUGAUACUGGAUAUCUUGAGUGCAGUUGAGGCAGGCGGAAUUCGUGGUGUAGCGGUGAAAUGCUUAGAUAUCACGAAGAACUCCGAUUGCGAAGGCAGCCUGCUAAGCUGCAACUGACAUUGAGGCUCGAAAGUGUGGGUAUCAAACAGGAUUAGAUACCCUGGUAGUCCACACGGUAAACGAUGAAUACUCGCUGUUUGCGAUAUACAGCAAGCGGCCAAGCGAAAGCGUUAAGUAUUCCACCUGGGGAGUACGCCGGCAACGGUGAAACUCAAAGGAAUUGACGGGGGCCCGCACAAGCGGAGGAACAUGUGGUUUAAUUCGAUGAUACGCGAGGAACCUUACCCGGGCUUAAAUUGCAGAUGAAUUACGGUGAAAGCCGUAAGCCGCAAGGCAUCUGUGAAGGUGCUGCAUGGUUGUCGUCAGCUCGUGCCGUGAGGUGUCGGCUUAAGUGCCAUAACGAGCGCAACCCUUGUUGUCAGUUACUAACAGGUUCCGCUGAGGACUCUGACAAGACUGCCAUCGUAAGAUGUGAGGAAGGUGGGGAUGACGUCAAAUCAGCACGGCCCUUACGUCCGGGGCUACACACGUGUUACAAUGGGGGGUACAGAGGGCCGCUACCACGCGAGUGGAUGCCAAUCCCCAAAACCUCUCUCAGUUCGGACUGGAGUCUGCAACCCGACUCCACGAAGCUGGAUUCGCUAGUAAUCGCGCAUCAGCCACGGCGCGGUGAAUACGUUCCCGGGCCUUGUACACACCGCCCGUCACACCACGAAAGUUGGUAACACCCGAAGCCGGUGAGGUAACCUAUUAGGAGCCAGCCGUCUAAGGUGGGGCCGAUGAUUGGGGUG
rnacentral:rRNA from 1 species